UACGAAGGGGGCUAGCGUUGCCCGGAAUCACUGGGCGUAAAGCGCACGUAGGCGGCUUUUUAAGUCAGGGGUGAAAUCCUGGAGCUCAACUCCAGAACUGCCUUUGAUACUGAGACGCUUGAGUCCGGGAGAGGUGAGUGGAACUGCGAGUGUAGAGGUGAAAUUCGUAGAUAUUCGCAAGAACACCAGUGGCGAAGGCGGCUCACUGGCCCGGUACUGACGCUGAGGUGCGAAAGCGUGGGGAGCAAACAGG
rnacentral:rRNA from 1 species